ACACCCUCAGCUCAGGUAAACGGGGAAGUCGACCUGCGAGAGCGGCUCUGGAAAAGGCUUGACACACCCGCAGCGGACAUGACGGGAGAAAUGACCGAGCAGAAGAACUUUUCUGAAGUCAUUGGUCAGAUAUUGCAAAGUGCGCCAGAUGCGAGGAAACACCUCGUUGACAACCACAGCAACCUCUUGCAAGUGGCGGAUUACUGCGAGAACAGUUACCUCCAGGCAGAGGAUCAGACCAAGGCUUUGGAUGAGGCCAAGGCUUUGACCGCCCAGUCGCUGGCCAGUGUCUCCUACCAGAUCAACAGUCUGGCCACAACCAUGCUGAAGCUGCUGGACUCGCAGGCCAUGCAGAUCAGAGCUAUGGAGAACUCAGUCAACCUGCUGUCACUGGCUGCUGCUAUCCACUUUGAGAAGGUGGCGAGGAGAGAGAUCGGUUCUUAUACUACGGCCAAAGACAGGACUCGCUCCAGGCUGAUGGCUCUGCCGCCUUUAGGCAAGGAGCCAGAGAGGGGCCACUUAAGGGUGCCGAUAUCAUACUCUGCCUUGGACACUAUUGGACACUGUUUUAAGACCAUUGAGGAGCAGCCCAGAAAGAGAGCAGACAGCAUACUGAGCACUGCAGACAUCUCUGUAACCAGUCUCGGCAUCGCUGUGCCUCCUCCGUCAGUCCCCACCUUGCGAACUGUCGCCAACCCCUCCAACGACAGUCUGCCCCCACCUCCCCCCCCGGCCGGUGGCCUGGAACCCGGGCUGCCUGCCCCUCCGCCUUUCUCUUCCUCCAUGGACUACGGCCUCCCCCCUCCGCCCCCCAUGACCUCGCCGACAUGUCAGCCCCCGCCGCCCCCACCGCCCCCUCCGCCGACUAUGGGCCUGUCGAACGCAGCCUACCCACCGCCUCCGCCGCCGGCAUCAUCGGGAGCUGGACCUCUUCCCCCUCCGCCUCCUCCUCCUCCUCCAGUGUCAGGGGCGUCAUCUCCCCCACCUCCUCCUCCUCCUCCUCCUCCGCCACCACCUCCCCCUCUCCUACAUUAACAAACAAUAUGGGUCAUGUUGUCGGAUGGUUAAAAUUUUGUGAAAAUGCAAAGCAGGUAACAAGUCUGAGCAGACAUGCUGGGUCUUUGCCAUGAGAUGAAAGUGUAAAAGAUAUUUUCAGGUUUGUUUUGACAUCGACAUAAUUUGCAAAUAAAAGCUGGAAACAGUCGAAUUGACCUUGAGCUGUUUCAUCUGUGUUGAACAGCACAAAAUGAGCUUCAGAUUAUAAUUUUUUCUUGGACUGGAAAUCCUCCUCCUCAGUGACACAGGGUGCUGCGUUGAAUGCUGCUCUGCGGAGCGUGUCUCAACAGCCCCUGCACUGCAUUCCUGUGAAACAAGCUCAAACAAGGAUUUCCACAUUUUCGUGUUAUCUUCAGUUUUUUGUGUCCUGUAAUGUGAUUUCCCUUCCUUAUUACGUCUUUGUGUUAUUACAAUAUUUCUUAAUCCGUUCAAGUGACUUCAAAAGCUGGUGGCCUUUUACACUGUCACUCUACUGUGUGGGGAGAGCACUAUCAGUGACGAUAAGUUGUCUAUGUCAGAUGCUACUUUAAACAGGUCAAUGAGGCUGUAAAACGUCUGUUGCAAGUCAACACUCUGCUUAAGCUGCACUACAUGGCUGCCACUUGAAGCUCAAACCCCUGUCUGACUCAGACCCAUCCCCGCUACACACCGACCCUCCAGCGUCCUCCGAGCGGCCCAGCUCCUCCUCCACCUGCUUCACUUCAAACCCCCUCUACAGCCUGAACACGAUCUAAAUAUUUUUCAACCUUAUUUGAGCCCAUACAGGUUACAGUGACCUUCAGUGCGUAUAUGUAGUUAUAUCUUGAGACAUAUAGUUAUAUUUAGAAUAAUUCUGAUGUCUACAAUGUUUUUAAUAAAUUAACAUUUGUACAGUAUAUACAUGAAUGUAUACACGUGAAGUGGGAGGAAAUAAUGACUUUUUAAUUGCAAUAAUCAACGUGUUUUAAUGAUACUGAGGUUACAAAAGUCUGUGUAAUGUACAAAAUUAAGUCAUUUAUAUUUUAAUAAAUAAAGUUAAAAACAGAAUGGGAAGAACUACUAAGGUGGAAAAAAAUUAUUUGUUUGCUGUCUAACAUCUUUCUAGUGGUCUAACAGCUGAACUCUGACCUCAGUAAACAAUGAAUGAAGUCAUUAAACGUAAGAAAUGUGAAAUGCAGAGUGCCCCAGAGAGUCCUGUGUCUUUAAACAAUAAAAUAAUGCUGUAAAACUUCCUCAUGCGGUUCACUUCCCCAUAAGUAACAUAUUAUCCUCUGCUAGCAACCCACAGGUGGGAACAGUUUUUCUAUGAUUCUGGUUCUUUGACUAAGUAGUGUCAGCAUCUUGACAUUAUCCCUGACAUGACUGAGGUACUGAAUAUCUUUCAAUAUAUAUUCCCAGUCUUGGUGGUGUCCAUAGCUGUGGUACUCCUCUGCUUCUAUGCUCAUGCAAAAAAGAAAAGGGCAGUGUAUGAUGUCACCACACCGACGACGCAGGACAACAGCCCUGCUGCCGUAAACUAUACCGUUUCUUCAGAAGAUGAAGAGGACAGACAUUACGACAGACUUCCUCCUCCCUACAGCAGCUUGGAUCACCCACCUCCCUACUCACUGUUUGACCCCGUGUUGGCAAGCCUUUGGCCGGCGGACUCGCUGCCUGCCUUAGGGAUGUAUCCCAUAAUGCUUCCUCUGGCGUCUCAUCACUGAAUGAUCACCAUCACCUUCACCCACCAUAGACGACGACAGCUUCAGAG